UCCCUUCUUAUGGCUUCCUGACCUGUUG
rnacentral:piRNA from 1 species